rnacentral:lncRNA from 1 species
GCCCGCCAAAGACACCUAAACCCACAGAUGAGAUCGUUGAGUCAGACUGUCUGUGAAAACGCUGAAGCCCCAUUCACGGGUGGCAUAGCCAAGGCUCAGAGAGGUUAGGAAGCGGUCCCCAGGCGGCACAGCAAGCCAGGAACGCCACUCGAGACAGCUUCAGCACGGGAUCCAGGCUCGAGUGGAGGGGAGGGUCUGCCGGGGCGGAGGGGCCUCGUCCCCCGCCCUCCCUCUCCGAUCUCCAUCGCUGGCCCCCACCGACUCUGGUCCUGCAAACUGAGUUCUUUGCCCACCUCCUCCUUCCAGCCCUCGCCCUGCAGAGUUCAGCCUGAUCUACACCGGCCGGCCGGAGAGCCGAGCCGGAGGAAAGCAAGCUCAGCCCCAGGGACCUCAGUCGAGCAGAACUCUGUCUCUUGCCAUGAAGCUGCCCCUCCCAUCCCCGCAAAGGAACACACACCGGCAGAAUCCGCCUUUUCAAUAAAAAACUACGACUGGGAAACAGUGAAUUAAAAAGCAUUAACUUAAAAACAAUCCAUGUGUCUGUAAAUGCGUUCCAAAUGGC